rnacentral:rRNA from 1 species
AGUGAACGCUGGCGGUAGGCCUAACACAUGCAAGUCGAACGGCAGCACAGAGGAGCUUGCUCCUUGGGUGGCGAGUGGCGGACGGGUGAGGAAUACAUCGGAAUCUACUCUGUCGUGGGGGAUAACGUAGGGAAACUUACGCUAAUACCGCAUACGACCUACGGGUGAAAGCAGGGGACCUUCGGGCCUUGCGCGAUUGAAUGAGCCGAUGCCGGAUUAGCUAGUUGGCGGGGUAAAGGCCCACCAAGGCGACGAUCCGUAGCUGGUCUGAGUGGAUGAUCAGCCACACUGGAACUGAGACACGGUCCAGACUCCUACGGGAGGCAGCAGUGGGGAAUAUUGGACAAUGGGCGCAAGCCUGAUCCAGCCAUACCGCGUGGGUGAAGAAGGCCUUCGGGUUGUAAAGCCCUUUUGUUGGGAAAGAAAUCCAGCUGGCUAAUACCCGGUUGGGAUGACGGUACCCAAAGAAUAAGCACCGGCUAACUUCGUGCCAGCCGCCGCAGUAA